UGCAAACCAGUUCCCAGGAACCUUUUUGA
rnacentral:piRNA from 1 species